rnacentral:rRNA from 1 species
AUGGUUGUGAUCGGCGAUUUUAAUGAGAUCAUUCUCUCCUCAGAGAAGGACGGAGGUGCCCCUCGACAACAAUCUCGUCUUAAAGCCUUUCAGGAUGCCUUGUCUGAUUGCGCGCUAGAAGACUUGGGGUACGAGGGUGAUGGUUUCAUGUGGUUCCAUGGAGGACUGCGAGAAAGACUAGAUCGGGCAGUGUCAAAUGCAGAAUGGAUGAGGCUACACCCGUGGGCAGGCCUGUGCAACUUGGAGCUAGGUAAAUCAGACCACAGGCCGAUCUGUUUGGACACUAACCACCUUGUUGGAGUGGCAGAACAUGCACCAUCCUACGGAAGAAAAUUUGAGGCAAGGUGGCUAGCUGAGGAGACUGUGGAAGAGAUUGUUAAAAUGGCGUGGCAAAAGGCUGCCGCCCGUAACAUUGGACCAGGAGUGGGUGCUAAACUUUCUGCGGUGCAUCAGGAUAUGCAUGCCUGGGACCGAAGGGUGCUAAAGGUGCCCCGCUCAAGACUCAGGAAGGCACAGAGAGAGCUCGAAUUGCUCUCAAGGGCAAUCCCGACUCCCUGA